rnacentral:rRNA from 1 species
UACGUAGGGGGCAAGCGUUGUCCGGAAUUAUUGGGCGUAAAGCGCGCGCAGGCGGUUUUUUAAGUCUGGUGGAUAAACCUUGGGCUCAACUUAAGGAGGCACUGGAAACUGGGAGGCUUGAGUGUAGGAGAGGAAAGUGGAAUUCCACGUGUAGCGGUGAAAUGCGUAGAGAUGUGGAGGAACACCAGUGGCGAAGGCGGCUACCUGGCCCAAUACCGACACUCAGGUGCGACAGCGUGGGGAGCAAACAGG